AGCAGCCGCGGUAAUUCCAGCCCNNAUAGCGUAUAUUAAAGUUGUUGCAGUUAAAAAGCUCGUAGUUGAAUUUCGGGAUCAAUAUGUCGGUCGUGCCUUCGGUACGCACUGGUAUCAUUGGUUUCUCCUUUCUGACGAACCAUGAUGUCAUUAAUUUGGUGUUAUGGGGAGUUAGGACUGUUACUUUGAAAAAAUUAGAGUGUUUAAAGCAGGCUUUAGCUUGAAUACAUUAGCAUGGAAUAAUGAAAUAGGACGUUCGAACCUAUUUUGUUGGUUUCUAGGAUCAACGUAAUGAUUAAUAGGGAUAGUUGGGGGCAUUAGUAUUCAAUUGUCAGAGGUGAAAUUCUUGGAUUUAUUGAAGACUAACUACUGCGAAAGCAUCUGCCAAGGAUGUUUUCAUUAAUCAAGAACGAAAGUUAGGGGAUCGAAGACGAUCAGAUACCGUCGUAGUCUUAACCAUAAACUAUGCCGACUAGGGAUCGGAUGAUGUUAAUCUUUUAAUGACUCA
rnacentral:rRNA from 1 species